AGAUGAUUUGCAGUGAGAACAGAGCAGAGUUGGGGACAGAAUUCUGACGAAGAUGAACACAUAAAGGAAAAAGAGACUUGCAAGUAUUCGAAGAAAGAAUGUCCAGAGAAUUGGAAGAAAAACAAGGAAAUCUGUAGUGUCGAAAAAAAGCAGAAAAUGUUUAAAAAAAUGCGGCUACUGAUGACAGAAGUGCCACAGGCUGGGAUGUCCCCAUCCAACUUCAGGCUUGCCAUCACAUUCAAAAGGAGUUCCUUAGCUGAAAGAGAUACCGGACCUUCAAAAAUCAGUCAAUCAGUCAACAAAGAUACGUAUUUGAGCUGGUGAAUUUGACAAGAGAGUUAUCUUCCAGGAUAUGGACAACAUGGAAAGAUCUCAGGGAUGUGUUAAAUCACACAGAAGACUCUGAAGAGCCAUGGCUGUCUGUCUGUCUGCUGUCUGAAAUUUAGACUGUUAGGAAAAUUAAGACCCAACUCUAGUAGGGCUGCAUUUCAAAUGAAACUUCAAGUCAUGCUAAUGUCUGGCAUCAAUUUGAAAUUCCUUAAAUGUAACCACAUAAUUUCAGUUUUAAAAAGGGUCUUUCACUUUUAAUGAUCGAAAAGAAACUUUUGAUUGCCAUAGGGCAAUUUAAUGAAAGUCU